AUACGUAGGGGGCGAGCGUUGUCCGGAAUGAUUGGGCGUAAAGGGCGCGUAGGCGGCCCGGUAAGUCUGGAGUGAAAGUCCUGUUUUUAAGAUGGGAAUUGCUUUGGAUACUGUCGGGCUUGAGUGCAGGAGAGGUAAGUGGAAUUCCCAGUGUAGCGGUGAAAUGCGUAGAGAUUGGGAGGAACAGCAGUGGCGAAUACGGCUUACUGUACGGUACCUGACGCUGAGGCGCGAUAGUGUGGGAUGCAAACAUGAUUAGAUGCACUGUUAGACCACACUGUGAACGAUGAAUUCUAGGUGUAGGGGGUAGCGCCCCCUUCUGUGCCGCAGUCAACACAAUAAGCGGUCCGCCUGGGGAGUACUGCCGCAAGGUUGAAACUCAAAGGAAUUAGCAGGG
rnacentral:rRNA from 1 species